rnacentral:rRNA from 1 species
CGGAGGGGGCGAGUGUUGUUCGGAAUUACUGGGCGUAAAGGGCGCGCAGGCGGCCUGGCAAGUCGAGUGUGAAAUCCCCCGGCUUAACUGGGGAAUGGCGCUCGAAACUACCGCGCUGGAGGGCGGGAGAGGGAAGUGGAACUCUCGGUGUAGGGGUGAAAUCUGUAGAUAUCGAGAGGAACACCGGUGGCGAAGGCGGCUUCCUGGCCCGUACCUGACGCUGAGGCGCGAAAGCGUGGGGAGCAAACAGGAUUAGAUACCCUGGUAGUCCACGCCCUAAACGAUGGGCACUAGGUGUGGGCGGUAUUAAUCCCGCCUGUGCCGUAGCUAACGCAUUAAGUGCCCCGCCUGGGGAGUACGGUCGCAAGGCUG